AAUGAACGUUGGCGGCGUGGAUUAGGCAUGCAAGUCGAGCGAGAACCCCGCAAGGGGGGACAGCGGCGAAAGGGACAGUAAUGUGUAGAUCAUCUGCCCUCAGGCCCGGGAUAGCUGCGGGAAACUGCAGGUAAUACCGGAUAACAUCUCCGGAUCAAAGGUGUGAUUCCGCCUGAGGAUGAGUCUACAUCCUAUUAGCUAGUUGGUAGGGUAAUGGCCUACCAAGGCUUUGAUGGGGUAGCGGGUGUGAGAGCACCGACCCGCGUCAUUGGGGACUGAGACACUGCCCAGACACCUACGGGUGGCUGCAGUCGAGAAUCUUCGGCAAUGGGCGCAAGCCUGACCGAGCGACGCCGCGUGUGGGAUGAA
rnacentral:rRNA from 1 species